GGCUUGUGGUUCAGUGGUAGAACACUUGGCUAGCAAAUGUGAGGCACUGGGUUCGAUCCUCAGCACCA
rnacentral:tRNA from 1 species